rnacentral:rRNA from 1 species
UACGGGGGGAGCAAGCGUUGUUCGGAUUUACUGGGCGUAAAGGGCGCGUAGGCGGCCACCGCAAGUCAGUUGUGAAAUCUCUGGGCUUAACCCAGAAAGGUCAACUGAUACUGCGGGGCUAGAGUGCAGAAGGGGCAACUGGAAUUCUCGGUGUAGCGGUGAAAUGCGUAGAUAUCGAGAGGAACACCUGCGGCGAAGGCGGGUUGCUGGGCUGACACUGACGCUGAUUGUGCGAAAGCUAGGGGAGCGAACGGG